CCUUUGGGGGCUGCGUGGGGAAACACCUGAGAUACACCUGGGCACACCUGGGAUAACCUGAGCUACACCUGGGAUCACCUGGGCACACCUGGGAUAAGCUAAAAUAAUCUGUGAUAAACCUGGGCACACCCUGGGACACACCUGUCACAUACCUUGGCACAGGUUCGGGAAUUUCUCCUGGAGAAUUUUCCGGAGCCCCCGGCUGAGCCCCACGGGCACCACCUGGACACUGCUGGAUUGGGGGGAAAAAAUGGGAAUUUGGGAAAAACGUCCAAAAAAUGGGAAUUUGGGAAAAA